CCGGCUAACUACGUGCCAGCAGCGCGGUAAUACGUAGGGGGCUAGCGUACCGGAUUUACUGGGCGUAAAGGGUGCGUAGGCGGUCUUUCAAGUCAGGAGUGAAAGGCUAGGCUCAACCGUAGUAAGCUCUUGAAACUGUAAGACUUGAGUGCAGGAGAGGAGAGUGGAAUCCUAGUGUAGCGGUGAAAUGCGUAGAUAUUAGGAGGAACACCAGUUGCGAAGGCGGCUCCUGGACUGUAACUGACGCUGAGGCACGAAAGCGUGGGGAGCAAACAGGAUUAGAUACCCUGUAGUCCACGCCGUAAACGAUGAGUACUAGCUGUCGGAGGUUACCCCCUUCGGUGGCGCACUAACGCAUUAAGUACUCCGCCUGGGAAGUACGCUCGCAAGAGUGAAACUCAAAGGAAUUACGGGGACCCGCACAAGUAGCGGAGCAUGUGGUUUAAUUCGAAGCAACGCGAAGAACCUUCCUAAGCUUGACAUCCCACUGACCCUUCCCUAAUCGGAAGCUUCCCUUCGGGGACAGUGGGACAGGUGGUGCAUGGUUGUCGUCAGCUCGUGUCGUGAGAUGUUGGGUUAAGUCCCGCAAGAGCGCAACCCUUGCCUUUAGUUGCCAGCAUUAAGUUGGGCACUCUAGAGGGACUGCCAGGAUAACCUGGAGGAAGGUGGGGAUGACGUCAAAUCAUCAUGCCCCUUAUGCUUAGGGCUAACACGUGCUACAAUGGGUGGUACAGAGGGCAGCCAAGUCGUGAGGCGGAGCUAAUCCCUUAAGCCAUUCUCAGUUCGGAUUGUAGGCUGAAACUCGCCUACAUGAAGCUGGAGUUACUAGAAUCGCAGAUCAGAAUGCUGCGGUGAAUGCGUUCCCGGGUCUUGCACUCACCGCCCGUAA
rnacentral:rRNA from 1 species